rnacentral:rRNA from 1 species
GAUGAACGCUAGCGGGAGGCCUAACACAUGCAAGCCGAGCGGUAGAGUCUCUUCGGAGACUUGAGAGCGGCGCACGGGUGCGGAACACGUGUGCAACCUGCCUUUAUCUGGGGGAUAGCCUUUCGAAAGGAAGAUUAAUACCCCAUAAUAUACUGGAUGGCAUCAUCUGGUAUUGAAAACUCCGGUGGAUAGAGAUGGGCACGCGCAAGAUUAGAUAGUUGGUGAGGUAACGGCUCACCAAGUCAGCGAUCUUUAGGGGGCCUGAGAGGGUAAUCCCCCACACUGGUACUGAGACACGGACCAGACUCCUACGGGAGGCAGCAGUGAGGAAUAUUGGACAAUGGGUGAGAGCCUGAUCCAGCCAUCCCGCGUGAAGGACGACGGCCCUAUGGGUUGUAAACUUCUUUUGUAUAGGGAUAAACCUAGAUACGUGUAUCUAGCUGAAGGUACUAUACGAAUAAGCACCGGCUAACUCCGUG